AGGUGCGAUCAUACCAGCACUAAUGCACCGGAUCCCAUCAGAACUCCGCAGUUAAGCGUGCUUGGGCGAGAGUAGUACUCGAAUGGGUGACCUCCUGGAAAGUCCUCGUGUUGCACCUC
rnacentral:rRNA from 1 species